CUGGCUCUCCUUCCCGCCCGCAGCGGGGUGCCUGCUCUCUCCUCUGAGGAUGGCAGGGAACCGCUGGAGCCUGAGUCAGGGUGGGUGAGGCCGUGGGCCAUGGACCUGCUGCUCACGGGCUCGGACUCUUCAGAGGGGCCACGUGCCCCAGGCAGAGCUGACGGGUGAGGUCUAGAGGGUGGGCGAGGCGAGGUUUCCUGUCCCUGGGGAAGGGGGCAGCGGGCAGGGUGACUGGCUGUCCCAGAUGGCCCAGGACUAGGGCUUCUCAGGACACAGUUCUCGGUGCUAGAACUAGGAGGGUCCCAGGAAAACUGGGAUGGUCGGUCUCCCUGGUGGGGGGUGAGCCCCAGCUGUGGGCCUCUGGGACCAGGGCUGCUGCCACACAGGGUCACAUCUGCUGAGCCCACAGCCCUCGUCCCUGCAGGAGGGGCGGCCCCACACCCAGGUCAUGAGACAAACAGCAUCUGGGGCCAACAUGGGCUGGGCCUUGUGAGCCUGUAACAUAUUUGUUCCUCGAGUUCUCACGGCCCUUCCCUCCCUGGGGUCCCUCCGUUCUUCCAGGCGAGUCCUGCCCGGAGCCUUGCUCCUGGGGCGGGCACAGACCCUCCCAACCCACAGGACACCCCGCUGUGUCCCUUCCUGGAGUCAGACCCACUCUCGCUUCAAGGACUGGCUGCAGUCACCUCCUCCAGGAAACCUCCUCCACUCCCCAGUCCACAGACGGUUCCCUUCUCUGCCAUCACAUGGUCCCUGCUCCUCUGGCUGUCUGGCCUCUGAGCUGUCUCCCAGAGAAAAAGCUCGCCCUUGCCAAAGCCUCAGCUCCCAGCCCUGCUCGCUCAGACCAGGACAAGCCCAUCCUGCCCCCUCAGCCUCCCCGCCCCAGCCUCAUGACUCCCAGUUGCUGGGCUCAGACUUGCCCGGCUCAUUUUCCCAUCGGUGACUCACGUAGGGGACGGGGGUGAGGCCAGGCCAGAGGAGAGACAGCGCCCCUCCCUGCCUCGCAGCAUCCUCAGGCCCAACAGAGCGAAGUUGUUCAAUCUCACGCAUGUCUGCUGGCACUGCCAGGGCCCGUCUGCGCCCCCAAGAGGCCUUGACCCUCUGCGUGGUCCAGCCAAGCCUUCCCAGCAUGAGCGCCCACGCUCCUUCCUGGAGUUCAGAGAUGCCAGAGCAGCGAGGACACCCCUG
rnacentral:lncRNA from 1 species